rnacentral:rRNA from 1 species
UACGUAGGUGGCAAGCGUUAUUCGGAAUUAUUGGGCGUAAAGGGCGCGUAGGCGGCCGGACAAGUGGAAGGUGAAAUCCCCGAGCUCAACUCGGGAACUGCCCUCCAAACUGUUUGGCUUGAGUCCGGGAGAGGUGAGUGGAAUUCCCAGUGUAGCGGUGAAAUGCGUAGAUAUUGGGAGGAACACCAGUGGCGAAGGCGGCUCACUGGACCGGAACUGACGCUGAGGCGCGAAAGCGUGGGGAGCAAACAGG